rnacentral:rRNA from 1 species
AUUGAACGCUGGCGGCAGGCCUAACACAUGCAAGUCGAGCGAGCGGCGGACGGGUGAGUAAUGUCUGGGGACUGCCCGAUAGCGAGGGAUAACAAAUGGAAACGGUGGCUAAUACCGCCUACUAUCGGAGACCGCAUAUGGGAUUAGCUAGUAGGUAAGGUAAUGGCUUACCUGGGCGACGAUCCCUAGCUGGUCUGAGAGGAUGAUCAGCCACACUGGGACGGAGACACGGCCCAGACUCCGACGGAGGCAGCAGUGGGGAAUAGUGCACAAUGGGCGCAAGCCUGAUGCAGCCAUGCCGCGUGUAUGAAGAAGGCCCUAGGGUUGUAAAGUACUUUCAGUCGGGAGGCGUUACCGACAGAAGAAGCACCGGCUAACUCCGUGCCAGCAGCCGCGGUAAUAC